CUGAAAUACAUUUAUUAGUCUGUAAGGUGCCACAGGUACUCCUGUUCUUUUUAUUAAUUAAGGUAACUUCCGGAUGUUCCUUCAGUGCUCUGCUGUGGCUGGCAACCUGUUCAGCAAAUUCCUUCUGUAAGGUUUGAGGCCUUUUUUCUGUAGUCACAUUAGGAGAGCAGCAGUCAUAAGCCAAGAAACAGAAAAUCACAUCCUUACAUUCCCGCUAAAUUAUACCAAAACAAUGUAAUAUUGGGCUGUUCAGAACGUACUCCUGUCCUAAUGGUAUCCUCCAUCACCAGAUAAAGAAACAGAUGUUUAAAGAAAACUUUGUUUGAUAACAUUCUGUCUGGAAAGGAACCACUUAUCAACUGUCAUGAUUGUGAAAUCUAUACUUCUUUAUUGUUUUGUCUUUAUGGUCCCUACUUCUCUAUUGUUUAUCUGUAUGGUCUCUUUAAUUGUUUGUCAGUUGCAUAACUAAUUUUGCAAGAUUUAAAUUGACUAAGGUGGGGGUAAAAUUGGUUAAAGAAUUGUUUCACAAUAUGUUAGGAUUGGUCAAAGAAUUAUUUUGUAGAACUUUUGUUUAAAAUGUUUGGUUAAGGUAUAACUAUGUAGGCCUCAAGUUUAAUUACUAGAGUCCAGAAGGAAGUUCUUUGGACUCUAACUCCAGGACACAGCCCAAGAUCAGAGCUGCCAGACUUCAACACCUUCCAAUCACACUGUGCAGAAGCUGGAGUAUACAGAUGACCUGAUCCUGGAAGGCAGGAAACGUUCGUCUGCCUUAUUGGGACUGAUUGCUGUGUGCUUUAAAAACAAACAAAGCAGACAAACAAAAAGAAAAACCAGGGAAAACAGAACUUCAGGAAAAGCUGGCACCAGCUGAAGAGCAACCCCAAAUACCAUGGAGUUACUGUCACAAGGAAGACUGUGUUUUGUGUUUUAUGUUUUGUGUUGUUUGUCUUGUUGCUAUCAUUGUUGUAUAUUGUGUUAAAAAAAUGAGAUACUGCAUUAGGCAGAAAAGGAUUGGUGAGCUCUUUUCCUGUAUUUACAGAAACAAAUAUUGCAGAAGGGCAGAGGUCAAGGAACACUAGUCUGUUCACAUGGCUCAUAGUCAUCCUGUGAUCAACCAAAACACUAAGCUCUUCCUCCUACCCUGUCACUUCCAACUGAUAAGUGCCAAACUUAUAGCAGAAAUUCUCAUUGUUAGUCCCUAAAUGCAUGACUUUGCACUUUGAGCUAUUAAAUAUCAUCCCAUUUUUAUUACUCCAGUUUACAAGGUCAUCCAGAUCUUCUUGUAUGGUAUUCUGGUCCUCCUCAGUAUUGGCAAUACCUCUCAACUUUGUGCCAUCUGCAAAUUUUAUUAGCACACUCCCACUUUUUGUGCCAAGAUCCGUAAUAAAAAAUGUUAAAUAAGGUUGGUCCCAAGACUGAUCAUUGAGGAACUCCACUAGUAACCUCCCUCUAGACUGACAGCUCGCCAUUCAGUGUGACCUGUUGUAGAUCUCCCUUUAACCAGCUCCUUUAAUAAUAAUGGCUUUGGUAAAAAGUGAGGACAGUAGGGUCUGAGGCAUUAGGACAGCCGCAGCCAUGAGUCAAGCAGCAGAAAGUCACAUCCUCACAUUCCCUCUAAAUUAUAUCAAAACAAAGUAAUUGAGCAGUUAAGAAGGGGCUCCUGUCCUAAUGGUACCCACCAUUACCAGGUAAAGAAACAGAUCUUAAGAUAUUUCAAUAAAAUUUUCAUAGCCUUGUGUCUUGCAAGGAAUCACUUAUCAAUAGUUGUGACAGUGAAAUCCAUACUUCUAUUGUUUUGCCUUUAUGGUCCCAACUUCUCUAUUGUUUAUUUGUAUGGUCUCUGAUUCUUUAAUUGUUUCUGACUGUUGCAUAACUAAUUUUGCAAGAUUUAAAUCAACGAAGUUGGUGGGGUAUGAUUGGUUAAAUAAUUGGUUUGCAAUAUGUUAGGAUUGCUCAAGAAUUAUUUUGUAGUACUUUAGUUUUAAAUAAUUGGUUAAGAUAUAACUAAGCACAACUCAAGUUUAACUUUAUAAACUGGGGUCCAAAAGAAAGUUCUUUGGAACCUAACUCCAGGACAGAGCCCAGGAUCAGAGCUGCCAGAUCUCAACAUCCUGCCAACUGUAUCAUGCAGAAGUUGGAAUCCCUGGCCGACCUGAUUCUGUCUGGCCAUCAGGAAAAUUCUGUCUGCCUUAUUGGGAGUGGUAACAUCUCUGUGACUGAGUUUCCCAUCUGUAAUUAGAACAUAAGAACGGCCAUACUGGGUCAGACAAAGGUCCAUCCAGCCCAGCAUCCUGUCUUCUAACAGUGGCCAAUGCCAGGUGCCCCUGAGGGAAUGAACAGAACAAGAGAGGAGCUCCAGAAUUCUGUGGUGCGAAGUGUAAGAGAACAUCAGCACAUUGUAUUUUUACAAACCAGGAAUGAGAAUGAAUGUAACUGAGAGCGAAUGCAACUGAGAGCCGACAAUUGAAACUCUGCCACAGUGCUCUGUGGGCUGUCUGAAAUCUAGCAGCAGCAGGGGAGUGUUUCUAGGUACUGUUGCAGAAGAGUCUCUGAGUGUGGGGGUGCUGUGAAGAUAGCAGAGUGGCAGUCAGAAUGCCACCAGGUGUGCUGGGGAGUGCAUGAUAGAGCACUAAUUGCUACAUGCUGUGACAGAGUGAAGCAUAUGUUCUCCCCACCCCUGUGCAAACUGUGGUCUGACAGCGGUAAUGAAAGUAGGAUAGGAUUUGCCAUGCCUUGUUAAUAUGUGAGCUCCAUGGUUCUGUCCCCAUUUUCAUUGGAUUUUUACUUUCCUCCAUCCCACCACUGCAACUUUUUUUCUCCUAAGCAAAACCAAGAUGAAGUGAUAACUAACUUUAGAACCUGUGAGUAAUUGAUACCAAAUCUAUCUAACUGAUCAGUCUUAUUUAGUCUUUGGUAUUUCUGAGGCACCUUUUAAUCUUUGGUCUGGUUUUUCAGAGGAAUUGAAGGUGCUCAACACCAGCUGAAAUCAGUGGGAACUCUGGAUAUUUAGCACCCUGGAGAAUCAUGCCCCUUGAAGCUAAGCAUUGAUGCCAAGUCAAAAAAAGUUGGCCUUUCCCUGCUGUACGAGUUUUGUGGUCUGCCCACUCCUGGUAAAUUCUAUACGUUGUUUUGAAAUUUCACUGGGCUUGUGUCAUCACAUUCUGUCAAGUUUUGAGAUAUUUACUGUACUUUUGGAUUUAUGACAUAAGGUAAAUUAGAGCCAAAUCAAGGAUGAUACAAGUAGAGAUAUCAUCUGGAGACUAAGGAGAGAUGAACUGGCUUCGAUAGCAGGGGAAAAAAAGCUUGAACCUUUGUCAGAACUUUAUGUAAGAUCUUUUGAGGCUUGAAAAUGUUAUGACGAGCAUUCCCCUUAAAUUAUGUUUUGUCCCUCCCCAUUCCCGUCUUUUUUCAAGAACUAGAAAUAAAACUGGCCACAAGGUAGGCUAUUCUUGCAGUAUUUCUUAAUCAACUAGAAGCAAGAAGGACCAUAUGUCUCUUCAUCUCAUUCCUAUCAGAUCUUCAGAUCACCUUUGCAGACCCAAGGCAAUGAGGUACCGGUAUCUCAGAUAAGCUAAAUAUUCAGUGUGGAAUCCUGGCUCCAUUUAAGUCAAUUGGAUGGUUGUCAUUGACUUAAAUGAUGCAAAGAUUUCACCAUUUGGGGUGCUUCUCCAAAUAAACAACAAAUGUACUUUCUGAAGUUCACCCAUCUCUAUAUAAGAUAUAGAACUGGCUUUCAGAAAAGAUGGAUUUAGUCCAGUUUUGCCAAUGACUUAUUCUGUGGCCUCGUGCAGAUUAUUGAACAUCUCCAUACCCCAUUUCGACAGUGGAGAUUUUGAUACUUAACCACUUUUGUAAAGUGCUUUGAGAUUGAAAGAAGAACAGUACUAAAUUAUAUUAAUAAUAAAUUAUAGCAUAGGAGAUUAAAACAGGCGUAGUGUAUUUUAACUCAGGACCAAGUGAAAUUUCUAUUUAAGUACUUUCAUUCAAAGAAACUACGUCUUUUGUUUCCCAUGUGAUGGUCUGGUUUUGGAGCACAUUAAAUCGUGAUCAGUUGUGUCUUACGCAAAAAAAAAAAAAGUAUACCAUAUGUAAAAACAAUCUAACAUAUUUUAUACGACACCUAGCUCUUGGUAUCUAAGUGCACCCUUCUCCUAUGUGUAAUGCCAAAUGCUGAUUCAAUCACAGUUUAAAAAAUUGGUGUGUGUAUUGGAGGAUCAAUAUGAGGUCUGGAGGAAAAAGGUGGAUGGUAUUUCAGUCACACCAGGACUGAGGUUGCUUUCCUCUCUUUUUUUAUUUGCUGCAAUCCUACAUGUUCUGCAGUCUGUAUAGAAUUACACUGGCCCCUUACCUUCAUUAGCAUCUUUUACAUUUCUUUCCAAAAUGCACUGGAUUUUAUUAAAUUUAUUACAAGUUCUUCAGGCUAUGGACAAGGACUAAAAUAAAGGCCUUUAUUAAACAUUUAAAAAAAUGGAUUCAAUCACCCAGCUCUCCCUUUAAUAUUAUGCCUGGGUUCUACAGUGAUGAAGCUAUCAGUAAAGAAAUACGGAGAGGUUUGGAGUGUUGUGUUUUUUUUUUAACAUGCUAAAAGCUUUCGCUGAGACCACUGCACAAUGCACCCAUUUCACCCCCCUGAAAAUUGCCUUAAUUUCAGUUUCAGAAUAAAAUUAAAUGCAAAAUUUCUGGUAACUAGAAAAUAAGCCAUUUAUUGUGAGGUUCUGAAACAAUCAGCUAAGGGCUUGUAUAAUACGAGCUUGUACAGUGUGCAAAUGCCUAUUUAAAGGGAUUGGAGAUCAUCAUUCUUUAUAAUCCAGUGUGGUAUUUUAUUCCAUCACCAGCAGCUUAAUUUAUUUCUUUUACCAUCUGUUCUUUUUCUUUCUCUCUCUGCCAAAAAAUCAAUAGCACUCAAUGAGCAAAACUGAGCUGUUCAGUAAUCUAACUGAAGCAACUUUUUGUUGUUGUUCAGAAGAUAUUGACCUGGUUCUUACAUUGGUUUAAUUUAAUUAACAAGUCCUUUGGUGAAUAAAAUUGUACAGAAGAAACUGUAAAUACCAAGUGUAUUGUAACCAGUCCUUGCUACCAUCAUUGCAACCCAGACUUUAUGAGCCAUAAUUCAGGGCAUGAUCAGCUUUUAGUUGUAGACAAUAGCAAAAGCCUAGUAAUAUGGGUCUGUAUCUUGGUCACCGAUCCAUGCAGAUUAUCACUGCCAGGGGCAGCAAGAACAGCCUGCACAACUAUGGAGAAGUAUGGUUAAGAAUUAUCCUCUUUCACAUAGAUUGUCCUUACCCCAGGCAUAUCCCUGAAUAUCCCCUCCAUACGUGCACAAUACUUCCGCAGUUUUAGUGAACCAUAGAUCACAGUUCCUAAGGCUGAUAUUAACCAGAUGUGGAGAGCUUGCGUAAGGCCCCUCAUGCUGUAAAUUGUUCAUCCAAAGGAGGAAGAGGGAUCUGAUAAUCCCAAACAGAGUUAAGCAUAAACAGGCAUUGCUAGAGGCAGACCAGGAGAGGAAUUACUGGCUGCUACUCUGAAACCUGUGUUUGCAUGUGGAUACCAGGACCUAGAAUUCUUGCACUGUGGAUACAGAGAGGCUGGAUCAGGUGGGAAUGGGUUGCAGGUCCUUGGCCUGUGAGUGAGUUGGGUGUGUUCGAUUGCAACCUCCCAAUGCCCCACAAAACGCCUUUAUUUUGUGCUGUGUGUCUGGAUUCCACCCAAAGGCCCUGAUCAUGCUCUCAUUCAAGUUAAUAGCAAAGCUUUGAUUGACUUCAAUGAAACAGGAUCAGGCUUUAUGAGAAGGCAUAUAGUGAAUGGAUAUUGCCUGACCUUUCAUCCAGUAGGUCUAAACAGGUAUCUAGGUGUAUUAGAUCAUGCUAUGAAAUAGCUAGAUUAGAUCCACCCAUUCAAGUUAGAGCCCACUUCACCAGGGCUCAGGGUAUGGCUACAUUUGACAUUUCAAAGCACUGCUGUGGCAGUGCUGCGGGAGCGCUGCCGUGGCAGCGCUUUGAAGUGUGAGUGUGGUCGGAGCGCCAGCGCUGGGAGAGAGCUCUCCCAGCACUGCACGUAAACCACAUCCCUUACGGGUGUAGGUUGCAGCACUGGGAGCCGCACUCCCAGCGCUGCGGCACUGAUUACACUGAGGCUUUACAGCGCUGUAUCUUGCAGCACUCAGGGGGGUGUUUUUUCACACCCCUGAGCGCGAAAGUUGCAGCGCUGUAAAGCUCCAGUGUAGCCAUGGCCUCAGGAAGCUUCUGCAGCUUCUUAAGAAACAUCCCUACCUCAGAAAUUUAUAGGUUAGCAACAUAACUAGAAUGUGUUUUAUGCUACAUGUACCAGGUAACAUAUCUCUGUAAAGGUCAUGAUCUACUGAAUCUAUUCAUCCUAUUUGUAUGCAUGUAUCAUUUUUGUAUUUGAAGUUAUGAAUAUUGGAUACUUGUUUGAUUCUAAGUAGGCUGUAGUGAAGCAGUUGGUCAGCUUCCAGAGAAAAGACUAUUUUCAGUAAGUGCUCCAUCAAGAAACGCUUAAGCCAACAAUGAACUUGGAGACACCAAUCCACAUCUGGACUUUCCCAGGAAUGUGGCUUGGCUGGUAAGGAACUCAGUCAUGCAUGGACAUCUGACUUGCCCAGGUGACUCCAAACCUCCAUUUUGUAGCUGGACUUCGCAUAGGAGAGAGGAGGGGGUCUCCAACCGCAAGAGAAAGUCUAUUUAAACCCAGGGAAUCGCCCUCCAUUUGGUCUUCAGCUGGCUAAAGAGAGAGCUCCUCCACCCCAAAAGAUACCUGAAAGAAACUGGAAAAAAGGACAGUGACUGCAACGAGUGUGAGUGAUUGCUGGACCCAGACUAAAAGGAGAUUAGUCUGUAAAAGGAAGCAGUCUGGAACUGCUGAGAUUAUCUGUAUUCAGUUUGAUUAGAAAUAAAUUUGCAUGUUUUAUUUUA